CACGUAGGGUGCGAGCGUUGUCCGGAAUUAUUGGGCGUAAAGAGCUCGUAGGCGGUGUGUCGCGUCGGCCGUGAAAACCUGCAGCUUAACUGCGGGCUUGCGGUUGAUACGGGCGGGCUAGAGUUCGGUAGGGGAGACUGGAAUUCCUGGUGUAGCGGUGAAAUGCGCAGAUAUCAGGAGGAACACCGGUGGCGAAGGCGGGUCUCUGGGCCGAUACUGACGCUGAGGAGCGAAAGCGUGGGGAGCGAUCCGG
rnacentral:rRNA from 1 species